UACGUAGGGUGCGAGCGUUAAUCGGAAUUACUGGGCGUAAAGCGUGCGCAGGCGGUUUUGUAAGCCAGAUGUGAAAUCCCCGGGCUUAACCUGGGAAUGGCAUUUGGGACUGCAAGGCUUGAGUGCGGCAGAGGAGACUGGAAUUCCUGGUGUAGCAGUGAAAUGCGUAGAGAUCAGGAGGAAUACCGAUGGCGAAGGCAGGUCUCUGGGCUGAUACUGACGCUCAUGCACGAAAGCGUGGGGAGCAAACAGG
rnacentral:rRNA from 1 species